rnacentral:misc_RNA from 1 species
CCGUCAAUUCAUUUAAGUUUCAGUCUUGCGACCGUACUCCCCAGGCGGAAUGCUUAAAGCGUUAGCGACGGCACCCGGGGACUAUAAAACCUCAGACACCAAGCAUUCAUCGUUUAAGGCUAGGACUACCGGGGUAUCUAAUCCCGUUCGCUCCCCUAGCUUUCGCGCCUCAGCGUCAGUGUCAGCCCAGCAACCCGCCUUCGCCGCAGGUGUUCCUCUCGAUAUCUACGCAUUUCACCGCUACACCGAGAAUUCCAGUUGCCCCUUCUGCACUCUAGCCCCGCAGUAUCGGCUGACCUUUCCGGGUUAAGCCCGGAGAUUUCACAGUCGACUUGCGGUGGCCGCCUACGCGCCCUUUACGCCCAGUAAAUCCGAACAACGCUUGCUCCCCCCGUAUUAC